rnacentral:rRNA from 1 species
GUGAGGUAAAGGCUCACCAAGGCUACGAUCCGUAGCUGGUCUGAGAGGACGACCAGCCACACUGGGACUGAGACACGGUCCCAGACUCCUACGGGAGGCAGCAGUGGGGAAUAUUGGACAAUGGGUGAAAGCCUGGUCCAGCCAUGCCGCGUGUGUGAAGAAGGUCUUCGGAUUGUAAAGCACUUUAAGUUGGGAGGAAGGGCAUUUACCUAAGAAGUGAUUGUUUUGACGUUACCGACACGAAUAAGCACCGGCUAAACUCUGUGCCAGCCCAGCCGCGGUAAUACAGAGGGUGGCAAGCGUUAAUCGGAUAUCUACUGGGCGUAAAGCGCGCGUAGGUGGUUCGUUAAGUUGGAUGUGAAAUCCCCGGGCUCAACCUGGGAACUGCAUUCAAAACUGUCGAGCUAGAGUAUGGUAGAGGGUGGUGGAAUUUCCUGUGUAGCGGUGAAAUGCGUAGAUAUAGGAAGGAACACCAGUGGCGAAGGCGACCACCUGGACUGAUACUGACACUGAGGUGCGAAAGCGUGGGGAGCUAUCUUUAUUAGAUACCCUGGUAGUCCACGCCGUAAACGACGUCCACUAGUCCUUGGGAGCCUUGAGCCUCUUAGUGGCGCAGCUAACGCAGUCAAGUGCGCGCCUGGGGAUUACGGCCUCAAGGUUAAAACUCAAAUGAAUUGACGGGGGCCCGCACAAGCGGUGGAGCAUGUGGUUUAAUUCGAAGCAACGCG